GAUGUUGGGUUAAGUCCCGCAACGAGCGCAACCCUUUUCCUUAUUUGCCAGCGGGUAAUGCCGGGAACUUUAAGGAUACUGCCAGUGACAAACUGGAGGAAGGCGGGGAUGACGUCAAGUCAUCAUGGCCCUUACGGCCAGGGCUACACACGUGCUACAAUGGUCGGUACAAAGGGUUGCUACCUCGCGAGAGGAUGCUAAUCUCAAAAAGCCGAUCGUAGUCCGGAUCGCAGUCUGCAACUCGACUGCGUGAAGUCGGAAUCGCUAGUAAUCGCGGAUCAGAAUGCCGCGGUGAAUACGUUCCCGGGCCUUGUACACACCGCCCGUCACACCAUGGGAGUUUGUUGCACCAGAAGUAGGUAGUCUAACCGCAAGGAGGA
rnacentral:rRNA from 1 species